rnacentral:lncRNA from 1 species
CACUUGGAAUUCAGGUUCUUUGCUUCGCAGUUGCAGAAGACACCAUGCACUCCUUCUCCAAGCAGGGCUUGUUGUAGGGCUCAAAGGAGGUAAGGGGUGUGAGGGCCCUUUCAGUCACUUGGUGACACACGGUGCGAGGUCAUCAAACUGGAGGGAGGUGGCUGAGGGGGUGAGGCUCUAACAGCGCAGGUGGGACUGGCAGGCAGAGAUGUGAGAAUGCUGCUGGCUUGGGUCAGGGGUCAGGGUUGAGGGAAGGAAGCAGGAGUACCUUGGCCUUAGCCAGAGGGGCUGAAGCGACGGGGGUGGGGGUGGGAGGGGUGUAGGGCAGCCGAGUCAGUGACCUGCUUCCCCAGCCUGGAGGGGUGGCCCUAUAUCUUAGAGUUCCCAGAGAAGAAGACCCAAAAGGAAGGGAGCCCUCUCUUGUCUGGAGGCCACACCUGUUAGAGAGGAAAGGCAAGCAGUGAGAGCCUGGGGGCAAGUUGAACAGGGAGAGCAGAAGCAGAGGUGGCGGGAGAGUUACAGACUAUGCCCAGGGCUGUGGGGAAGCAGCUUGUUAGGCACUGAGCCCACCAGGCUGCGCGGGGCCUCAGACCUUGCCCAGGUGAACACCCAGGUCUGGAUCCUGGCCCUUUUACUUACUAACUGUGUGACCUUAGGCAAGCUAACCUCUCUGAUCCUUAGUUUUCUCUUCCAUAAAACAGGAAUACUACUAUUUACAUCAGUGUUGUUAGAGUCCAGCAGAUGCUAUAGGGACAGCUGCCCUGGGGACACAUUCACUCAAACCCAUCCUAUUUCCCAUAGCUGCAGCCCCACCACAUCGGACUGUCAGCAUCACAGAAAAGUUCAGGAAGAGUUUAGAGAUAUCCUUGCUGUCCCCAGUCUCAGACUAGGUUGCACUGGGCUCCAGGAAGGAGGCUACACAUUUAUUGAGCUAAGCAUUUUUUUUUUUUUGAGACAGAUUCUCGC